rnacentral:rRNA from 1 species
AAGGUAGCAUAAUCAUUAGUUUUUUAAUUGAAAGCUGGUAUGAAAGGUUGGACGAAAAAAUAGCUGUCUCUAUYUAAAUUUAUUAGAAUUUUAUUUUUAAGUAAAAAAGCUUAAAUAUUUAUUGAAGACGAGAAGACCCUAUAGAGUUUUAUAAAUUUAAUUAUUGAAAAUUUUAGUAUUUUAAAAGUUAAUUAUUAAGUUUAUUUAGUUGGGGUGAUUGAAAAAUUUAUUAAACUUUUUUUUUAUAGAAACAUAGAKUUAUGAAUAGUUGAUCCUUUUAUUAAGAUUAAAAGAUAAAAUUAC